rnacentral:sRNA from 1 species
UUUAUAUAUUCAUGUAGUCUCAUUUGUGAGAAAUCACAAGAGACAAAUGAGAAAGUUAUUUAGAGAAUAAAGUAUCGUUCAACAAAAAUGUUCUUUCUCUGUUUAAUAUAUAUGUGACACAUCUGUUGUAAUGUAACAACAGUGUGGUAUAACACCUCUGUUCUAUCAUCUUUGUUUCUAACAAAUUGUUCAAAGCUCAUACAACUAUUGAGACAAGGCACACGAGUUCAAUUCUAUCUUAGGUGAUAAGUCACUCCUCUACUUAGUGUAAACCAAUCACCAAAGCCCUAAAGACGACUAUUUUCAAGUAACAUUUAGUCCAUACUAUUAAGCUAUUUAAGCAAU